AGGACGAACGCUGGCGGCGUGCCUAACACAUGCAAGUGGAGCGACGAACCGGGCUUCGGCCCGGGGCAAAGCCGCGAACGGGUGAGUAACACGUGGGUAACCUGCCCCGAUGAUUGGGACAACCCGAGGAAACUCGGGCUAAUACCGAAUGUGCCCUCCGGCCUCAAGGCCGCUGGGGAAAGGAAGCUUCGGCCUCCGCAUCGGGAUGGGCCCGCGGCCCAUUAGCUUGUUGGUGAGGUAACGGCUCACCAAGGCGACGAUGGGUAGCUGGUCUGAGAGGACGAUCAGCCACACUGGGACUGAGACACGGCCCAGACUCCUACGGGAGGCAGCAGUUAGGAAUUUUCCGCAAUGGGCGAAAGCCUGACGGAGCAACGCCGCGUGUGUGAUGAAGGCCUUCGGGUUGUAAAGCACUGUCGGAGGGAAGAAUGAAUGACGGUACCCUCCAAGAAAGCCCCGGCUAACUACGUGCCAGCAGCCGC
rnacentral:rRNA from 1 species